rnacentral:tRNA from 1 species
GGAGAAGUACCCAAGUGGUUGAAGGGAUUAGUUUCGAAAACUAACAGUAGGAGAUAUCCUAGCGAGGGUUCAAAUCCCUUCUUCUCCGCCA